UGGGGAAUAUUGCACAAUGGGCGCAAGCCUGAUGCAGCCAUGCCGCGUGUGUGAAGAAGGCCUUCGGGUUGUAAAGCACUUUCAGCGAGGAGGAAGGUGGUGAGCUUAAUACGCUCAUCAAUUGACGUUACUCGCAGAAGAAGCACCGGCUAACUCCGUGCCAGCAGCCGCGGUAAUACGGAGGGUGCAAGCGUUAAUCGGAAUUACUGGGCGUAAAGCGCACGCAGGCGGUUUGUUAAGUCAGAUGUGAAAUCCCCGGGCUCAACCUGGGAACUGCAUUUGAAACUGGCAAGCUAGAGUCUCGUAGAGGGGGGUAGAAUUCCAGGUGUAGCGGUGAAAUGCGUAGAGAUCUGGAGGAAUACCGGUGGCGAAGGCGGCCCCCUGGACGAAGACUGACGCUCAGGUGCGAAAGCGUGGGGCAGCAAACAGGAUUAGAUACCCUGGUAGUCCAGCGCUGUAAACGAUGUCGAUUUGGAGGUUGUGCCCUUGAGGCGUGGCUUCCGGAGCUAACGCGUUAAAUCGACCGCCU
rnacentral:rRNA from 1 species